CCGUGUUUAACUCAGUUGGUCAGAGUGCUCGGCUUAUACCCAAGUGGUCGGGGGUUCAAGUCCCUCAACACGGACCA
rnacentral:tRNA from 1 species